CAGUGACAGACAAUGCAAUGUUUCAGGUUCUGUGUGUCAUCGCUGCCUGUCCACCGGCCCACCGACCGUUCGCUCCUGCCACACCACGUUUGAAUCUGGCCUGAAAAGACAAGAAAGCGGCUGAAAUAAGACACCUCCACCUCCACCUCUUCCACCCCCUCCACCUCCACUGCGUCAACUCCGCACAGCUGAGACGUGGUGUGGCCGGAAGCACGCCGAGAGAGCUGCUGGGUCAAACCGAGUCGUGCUCUCUGUGGUUUAGCAGACUACACCAUCAUUUCCACGUGAGCAAUAAAAGAAAUCAUCACUUCUUUUUUCCCCCCCUUUUUUCCAAAUAGAAAAUAGGCAACCAGUCUUAACCGGAAUAGCCUGUGUAGAUUAUUUAACACAUGUACAUGUAGGAUAUGGUCUUCCAGCCCAAAAGCACGACUAAAUAAAACAAAAAAAAUGUUAAAAUAAUAAUAAUAAUCGCUCGAGGUUCAAGAAAUGGCUAGCAAAAUUAGCAAACAGCUAGCUAGCAUUCUGCAUUGAGUUUCCGUUAGCUAGCCGCGCGAGGGCGUUUUAUUUUGAAGACGCCGGGCCGGAAGUUUACCGAGGCGACGUUUUCACUUGCCAACUUGUUCCUGUGCGAGAAAUUCCUCAAGUUUUUCGUCUUUUGUCUGCGUGUUUGGACCCAAAAGUGAGCGAGUGGACACAUGGGCAGGAGAACGGCCGAAAGGAUAAAAACAGGAGAAAGGGCCCGGUUGUAAGUAAGAAUGUGGACGGAGGCGAGGGAGACUUGAACGGGCUCCCGCGGAUGCGUUUUUGCGCUUUCUUUGGAGCUGGCUGAGCAAGAAUACUGGGAGUGAACCUCCUGAUGGGAAAACAGAGGAGGACGAAGGGGAAGAUAACCAGGAGGAGCUGAGGAAGGAGCCGAGAUAAGUAUGUGGCAAGUCUCACUGCUGUUUCUGUGACGACGAGAGCAAAAGAGCUGAGAUGGAGGGAGAGAAGGAGAGACAGAGGGAGCAGCGGGAGGAGAAAGAGAGUAACGAAGCGGAAGACAACGCGAGGAGCGACGACGACUCCGACCAUGAAGAGGAGGAGGACGAAGGCUCCGAGAGCGCAGCGCUCGUGUGGCAGGAACGUUACGGCGAGGACAAUCUGGGCCUUCCCAUCAUGCACUGGGAGGCGCUGAGCCUGCGCAUUGCUGAACUUGAGAAGCAAGAAGAGGAGAAAAAAGAGAAGAAGGCAAAGAGUGGACUUUUUCUGGACCAGUGCAAAGCUCCAGUGAGCUGGGCAGAGGAGAGAGGGAGGAGAGCGGAGAGCUGGGAGGAUGGAGACGACGCCUGCAACAGCCACGUGCUGGCACUCACCUCCCGCCUGCAGACGCAGAUGAAUCUUCAGCUCUGCUUCAUCAACAACAGUGAAAGUGAGGAAGAGGAGGACGAGGAGGAGAAGAAGAAAAAGGGAGAGAUCGGCAAGAAGGAAAGCAGCAGCACACGAAGAGGGACUGUGCAGGUCCAUAAGAAUCCUCAGCCUCCUGCCAAGCCGGAGAAACCAAAAUCCAGAGGCUUCAGGAACACUUUGAGGAACCUACGAGACAGACUGAGAACAGACCACAAAACUCUGACUGCAGCUUGUAGCGAUCCUGUCGUGCAGAGAAGACAUCUGGAGCGCAGUGAUUUACAGAACUUCAGUAUUAAGGACCUAAAUGCUCUUUCCACUUCUCUAAGCAAGACCAUACAAGACCUGAGCACGGAGCUAGUGGGUCGCCUCCAGGUUCGAGACCAGCUGAGGACGGAGCAGGAUGCCAUGCUGCUGGAGGUGCAGGAUCUGACGUCACUGUGAAUCUGCCGUUGCUGACUCACCGUCUGAGCUUCACAGGUCGUGUUUCGGGGGGUGGGAUCCUAUCACACGAAUAUUUGAAGUGCCACGGCCUUUGAACAUUUUUCAGCUGUUUUAAACUGGCAUACAACAGAACCAGCGUUGUCACGCAGGCACGGUCCCAAGUGUCAGAGUUGAUGGUACCCACUGCAACGCAAAUGAUCUGGACACAGUGAUCAGUGGAUGGUGGCUCCAAUGGAAUAUCUUUUGGGAAAUGUGCACUUUUGCCUUCUUACCCUUCAUCAGAUCAGAGGAUCUAUACAUCUCCACCUUGUCCACAGCAAAUAAGGGUGUGGGUCACGCUAGAAUCAGCUCAGCGCCAAGACUGGAAACAAGGAUUUCCACCAAUACACUCCAUCCUAAAAGCCUAAAGUCAGAUGCAAAAAAGUAAAGAAUUUGGUCGAAUACAUUUUGCACAUCAAGUCCAAGUCAAAAUUGUACAGUUGCAGACUGUUUUGUAUUUAAUUUUCUUUUUAUACAUCAGAUUAGCAUCUCAAAGCUUCAGCAGUUCAGUUGCUAUUUGAGUGGUUCGUGAAGGAAAAUGUCAGCCAAAACUGAAAAUUCAAGUCAUUAUCUACUCACUCCCAUGCUAAUGGAAACUUUGGCAAAGUUUCAUAGUCGACAAAACAUUUUUGGAGCUUCACAGCACAACAGCAUUGCAGCCUUCUGUUACACAACUGGAGGCUUGCUUACACAACUGAUAUUAACCUAGAAUGGCUCCAUACAGCUAGUUUAUCGCAAUCCACGUCUGUGGAAGCCUUGAUAUCCCAGAUUGAUUUGGAAAGACAGAAUUGGCCUCACUGUUUUUUAAGAAAAGAAAAAUAUUUCAGCCAAUCUUAAUGAGGCGAGGAGAUGGGUUUUUUUGUUUACAGAACCAUUCAAUCUGGUCGAGUGAAAGAAGAUGUUUUCCAUCUCGUCACUCAAAUUUAGCUGCCAGGAUUUGUUGCUGCGGGUUCCUCAGCCAGCGCUGAUGACUCGCAUCAUGCACGAGAACAAGAAGUGUGGAGUGUGGAAAUCUGGAUAAUGAAAUUUAUGAGGACAGAACAGCUCUGCAAUAACUAAUAAAGAAAGCAUGGAAACACAAAUACUGAACUACAUUAUUUAAAUACUUAUAUGACUUACUCAGCUCAAAUAAUGUGUUUGAAUAUCUUCACUCACACCGAUCUGUGGUUAACUGUAGAUGUCUUGAUGGUUGAGAAGAUACAGUACAUUUUUUUACAGAGUUAGACUAAAAUGUUGCCACUGGUUCUAGUUUAUAUUAAGUAUGGCUGUGCAAUAUAUAUAUAUAUUAUAUAUAUCGUUAUCGUGCAACAGGACUGAAAAGUGUCUGAGAAAUUGAAUAUUGUUAUAAAGUGAUACGACGUCAGUGUUGCAUUACAAUACGGUGAUGCAAUUAUCUGAACUUACCGGACUGUUCUACUUGUUCUAACACCUGUCUUUACCCGCUUAGAUAUUAUAUCCACUUUACUGGUGAUAUUUUAUCAUAAAUCUUUUUGUGUCAAUGUUUUGUGAAAGUACCAAUAGUCAUCUCUACAAUAUUGUUGCAGUAUUUGAGGUAUUUGGUCAAAAAUGUUGCGAUUUGAUGCUUAAUCCAAGCAUUGAUGGGGAUGCUUUUGGGGACAUUUCAAAAUAUCGAGAUGCAUAUCGUGUAUUGGGAUGCAGCCUAAAAAAUAUCAUGAUAUUAUUUUGAUAAUCCAGUCCUAAUGCUAAGGCAAAACAGACCAUUAAAAUCAGUAGAUUGUUCUAGACACUAAUACACAUCACAUGAGUGUUCACGGAAAGGAUUUGUCCAGUGUUGAUGAAAGUCAGUUUCAUUUCAGCCUCUCUGCCUUAAAGGACUAUGCAGACUUUUUGACCACUGGUAUGCUAUAGAGCAAUAUUUUGUCAGACUUUAGAAUUCAGAAUUCUGACUUUAAUCCCAGAUGUAAGUUAAAACUCUUUUUACAGUAGCACUAUCUGUUAUGAAUAGGCCUGCUGAUGGUUUCACAGUUCUCCACUGAUUGGCGGGUAGUCGCAGUAACGCCAGUGAACCAACACAGGCAAAGAAGAUCAUGGCUGUAAACAAUGAAAUUUGCUAAUUCUAUCAAUUGAGCAAUCUGUCUUUGUUUUGUACUUUGUUUCAGUUGUAGUUAAGGUCUAUGAUCUUCCCAGAAAACAGUUCAUGCACGUGUUUUUGUUGGUGAUCAUAAUAUCUCAACCCAAAGUGUUUGUUUUGUUUGGUUACGUAAGGGGAGAUUCAAACAGAAACCAGGACAAACACAAAAGCAAUACAUAAAGGGAAAUUAAACAGUAGAACAAGCUGA